GGAUUCAGGUUUUUACUUAUAAGUGAUAUAUAGAACAAUGUUCUCUUAUUUGUGCAUUGGAUAUCCGUGAUUUGCUGUUAUGGUAUUUUUACCGUUGCUUUGUCGUUGAUAAUAAUUUGAAAAGAGAUUGUAUUAACUGCCAACUCCCAUGACUAGGAAAUUUCUAUCUGGAGUUCUUUGUGACUAAUGUUCAUAAUUAUUUUUUCAGGUGAUACCUCUGCAUCUUCCUCCAGGUGACACAUCAACUGAAAGAACAUUGAAAAUUGAUGGGACACCUGAGCAAAUUGAGUCUGCAAAGGAGUUGGUUAAUCAAAUCAUCAGUGGCGAGGUAUGUUUAUGGUGCUUCUUUUUGCCACAUUUGGCCUAGGCAUAUCUGUCUGGUUAUGCCAAGUCUCGUCUAGUGUUUAAAAUUGUUGUUUUUCUACUUGGUUUUUCACUCUGUAUGUUGCACAGUCUACUUAUCUUAUAGACCGAUUGAUAAAAAUAGGUUAAUGUACGUAGCUUUAUGCGAUUGUUAGAUGAAUACUCCGUGCUUCUGAUUGCCUGUUGGAUCUUUCUAUAUUUAUGGUAUUAAAAUAUAAAACUAGAUCUGAUUCACCCUGUAACAUGAUACAUGAUUUUGCAGUACUCUUUGAUUUGUUCCUUUGCAGGGAAAAAUUGUUUUGGUAAAUCAUGUGAUGCUUUUUACUAUAGUUUGCAUAAAUGAGUUUUAUUUUUUUCAUAUUAAUUAAUUCAUUGAUCUUAUUAAUGAUAUAUUAUAACACUGAUCAUUAUUACUUAGCAUUGUAUAUCAUUGAUGGUUUUGAUCUCGACUGAAGCAGCUUUUAGCUGUAUGGCAAUUAUUAGUUAACUUGAUGCGUAUUCUGGACGCUUUGAUAUCUCUUCUAAAGCAGCUUAGUUCAUAGUGUAUGUUUUUAGAAGUAGUAUGUUUCGAGAGCCUAAUGUGCCUUUCACAAGUGAUUUUUAUUAUAUGGUACUUAAACAUUGAUACGACCUCUGUUACCUAUUGUAUUGUUCUCAAAAGAAAAUCAGUAUAUAAUUUCAUAUUGUGCAACUGUUUCAAGACUUUUACAAAGUAAUACUCAAAGGUAGAAAAUAAACUAAACCUCUAGUGGCUGUUACGAUGUUCUUUCUUUUAAUCUCCAACUCUCAUCAAUGUAAUUUAUUCAGCUCGCCAGGUGGAAAUAUGGUUAGGGAGACCGUUCACUGCUAUAGCCAUAGUUUAUUAGCUGUAAUGUUAACGACUGUAUGGUAUCCUGUUCUAUGAACAGUCUUUAUAUACUGGCAAUAUGCACCUUUCUUUAUGUUUAGUCUCGGAUUAGGUGAUGGUCAUUAACUUUCAGGAUCUUCUAAUUCUGGCUUGUCAACUGGUUUUUACGUUUGUGUAUGUGCACUCUGCUCUGUAUAAUUAGCUAACACUUCUUGGCCAUUAUCUUUUAUCCAUCCACAAACUAAGCAAUAAUUGAGAUUUGGACUUUCAGUUUUCUUGACCAAGAUACCAUACUUUUUUACAUAGACCGUUUUUUAACUGUGGUGAAGUUUUUCACCUAGCCCUGUGCUUUCGUCUUACAUUGUUUUUGUUGGUUUAGAUUCCUGGGGGUGGUGAAGGCUACUGUUAUUAUGAAUAUUUUUGGGUCCUGAUGGAUACUCAUUGAGAUUAUAGCCUUCCGACAUUGGAAUAUGAUUAUUAAUUGUGUAUCCUAUGACUGAUAAUGUUAUUGGGACUGUUGUAGGGUUAGUGUCUAUUGGACUAUUGGUGACACCAACAUGAAUCCCUUUGUUGGUGUUCCCUCAGCGUGCCCUGGUAUGGUUCUAAAUCUCAGAUAUUUAUUAUCAAGGGCAGUAAGUCUCCUACUAUAUUAUUUGACUAUGGUGUCAUUAUUAGACUGAAUAUUGGAUUGUGUUGAAAAGGUUUCAACUUGGUCACUUGUGCUUUUCAGUUCAUAUCUCAACAAGAACCUUUAUGUACUUGGAAUAGUAUUUUAUCCUCGGAUCUUAUACAUGACUUUCAUUUGGCAUCAGUAACCUGAAAGUUGCCUACCGUGCAACUCUUUAAUUAUUUUCCCCUACUAUUAUUCUUCUCCAGCUUUAAAUAGUAGUUUUCUGAACUAACCAGUUAUCUUCAAGAUUUCUGUUAAGAUUUAUCUGUUGUACAUUUUGUACCACUUCUAUUCAGCCUCAUCGUUCCAUUAUUUUUCUUUUUCUUAUUCGUUUUCCAUGAAAAUAAUAUUUAAUUUUAACUUUUAAUUCCCUAGGUUGAACUAUUAGAUUGGGUUGUACAAAGGUUGAGAGUAUGUAUAUGGGAGCGCAGAAAGUUGUCUCAACAGUCUAUAUAUUUGAAUUUAGAGUUACGCCUUCAUCUUAAUAUACAGUGAAAUACUCUUUCAAUUAACCUGAAUACGAAUGAUAUAUUCUAUAUUGUAUGUGUAACAAUUGGAUUAAGAUCUUGCAUAUUUUGAGAUACUAUAUGAUGGAUUGCCCUUUCGAGGCAAUAAAUAUUGAAUGCUUGUUUGCUUCUAUGGUCUGUGCUUUCUUUUGUACCCAUCCAACUCGAAUAGGGAAAGGGUGUGCUUCUGCUGGAGUAACUCAGUUUUAUCACGAACCAGUACGGUAUGUAGGUAUUCAUAUCCCUUUCUGAUCAUGUAUGCAACCUGUUAAUGCAAGAUAAAAAACCCUUUAUAUCGUAUUUAUUAUAUGUUGAUUUUUGCAUUUGUAAGUUUAACCUGUGUACGUGUGCAUAUGUUGCUUUCUGUACUUGUCCGAUGUGGAAACUUGGGUGAAUUCACUUUUCAUAUUUGGUUUCAAUUUGUCUGCACAGAAUCGUCUUAGAAAUCCUGCAAUGUCUGGUGGUUAUCCUCAGCAAGGUUACCAAUCUCGUCCACCCUCUAACUGGGCUCCCCCUGCUCCAAUGCAGCAGCCUGGUUAUGGUUAUAUGCAGCCUGGUGGAUAUUCUGGUCCAUCACCUCAGUAUAAUAUGCCUCAACCACCAUAUGCGGGCUAUCCUCCUCAACAACCAGGUGGAUAUUCCACUAGCUGGGACCAGUCUUCUGCACCACCUCACCAACAGUCUACUCAUGCUGGCGGCUAUGAUUACUAUAGUCAACAGCCACAGCAACCGCAAAAUCCUGGAGGGCCAGCACCUCCAGGGGAUAGCUCUGCAUACAGUUACAGUCAACCACCUUCAUCUGGUUAUAGCCAACCGGGACAGGGUUAUUCUCAGGACAGCUAUAAUGCAUACAAUGCACAGUCUCAAUCAGGGUAUGGACAGCCACAAACAUAUGAUCAGCAGCAAGGCUAUGGCUCAGCUACUACUGGCUAUGGUAGUGGGAAUAACCAAGCGCAAGAGGGCCACACUGCAAGCUAUGCAUCGCAGGGAGAUUCAGGCCCAGCUCCAUCUACCCAACCGACCACACAACAAGGUUAUCCUACCAGCCAACAGCCCAGCUCAAACACUGCCAACUACCCAGCUCAGGGAACUCCUCAGUCAGGUUAUGGGGUUCCCCCGACCUCCCAAGCUGCUUAUGGAAGUCAACCACAGCCAGGUUACGGACCUGGUUAUGGAGCCCCUCAAUCUCAGAAACCAAGUGGCAAUCCUCCUGUUUAUGGACAGUCGCAGUCACCCGGUGCGGUGGGAGGCUAUGGUCAGUCAGCAUAUCCUGCUCAGCCUCCACCUUCCGGUUAUACUCAACCCCAAGCAGAAACGGGUGCUCAGAGAGCACCUCCAUCGGGCUAUGGUGCAGGGCAACCAGGUUAUGGUUCUCAAACAUAUGGUGCAGCUCAGGGUGGCCAGCCUGCUUAUGGUCAGGUACCACCUCCUUACAGCAACAGUUCUUAUGGUGCUGGUUAUACUCAGGCUCCCGCAUAUACUGGCGAUGGUAAUGGCAGUGGAAAUACGCAGCCUCCUCAGACUGCUGUUGCUAAAGCAUCGCCUCAGACUUGAUAUUUUUGUCUCCCUUCUCUCAUGGACUAUCGUUUUUAGUUGUGUUUUACUGAUCCUUAUUUUUCUAGUGACACUAUGUAGCGUUGCAUUGUUUAGAUGGAAAAAAUCGUGUAUUGAUAUUUUCUACAUUAUCCGGUUCUGUAUGGUUGAAUAGGAGCUCAUUUUUAUGUUGUUUGAAGUUGAGAUGAAAAUAACUUCCCAUUUUUAUGCUAGUUUCAGUUGUAAAUAAGGCUUUAAGGUUUCGUUUGGAAUAGAGAUUUUUUAAGAAUUAUCUUAUUAUGAAUUUAGUGAUUUUUGUAAGUGUUUUGAGAAAAAUUUAAAAUAAAAUUAUAUCCAAACGUAACUUUUUAAUAAAUUAUGAAAACAAUAAUAUUUUUUAUGAAAGUAUCUGUUAACACGGGUAACAGAUUUUUGAAUCCGAUUCUGUAGAAAUACAUACAAACGAAGAAAGAGAGUAUAAUAGAAUUUGAAAACUUAUAAAAAAAAUUGACCGUUUUUAUACUUGUAAAAGUUAAUACUUUUAUUUUUCAUUUUGGUAUUUUAUUGCCCAAGAAUAGCAUGUUUUAUUUUCAUCUCUUAGUGGAUUUUGCAUAAAAAUUGAAUAAUACUUGAUGAUGCUUGUUUGGUUUAGAGUGUUAGAUGGAUGUGAAAAAUGAAAAUUGUUUAAACCAAUUCCAACUCAUAUAAUAUUGAGCUAACAUACACUAAAAUCAUAUUCUAAAAAGAGGUAAGUCUGUCAAAAUUUUCUAAAAACUUGCAACUAUGGUUUAGAUAAUUGGACAUGACACUUUUUUCAAAAUCGACCAAUUCAAUCUAUAAAUAAAACUAUUGUAAUGUCGAAAAUUCAAAUCUUUUCCCAUAAAACCCAAUGUUAAAAAUAUUAGUGACUCUUGGAAUAUUAUUGGUGAGCAAAACAGAAAUGGGAAUUGGAUUUUCUCUUUUGCCAAGGCUAUUUGAAACUGUGGAUCAUAACUUCUGAUAAUUUCAUUCAAAAAAUAUAUUUUAAUAUAAAGUGAAAGUUAUAUAUUUAUCGAAAAUAAAAAAUAAAUAUUAAAAAAGAUAACAAAGAGAAAGAGUAAUAGGAAUGCCGUUAUCUAAAUUAUAAGUCAGUUGUUAAUAUACUAACUCAUUAUAAAGUUUCUCUUAAGUCAUAUAUAUUUAUUUUUUUUCUUAUAAGAUUCUUAGAUAUUUUUAAGAAUUUAUUAAAGAACCUCAUUAAUUAAUAUUUUUUAAUUCAACCCUUAUUGUUGGAAGAAAAAAAAAGAUUGGUUAUAUUCUGAAAAAAGAAAACUUAGUUGAAUCCCUAUUAAAGUACACGAUUAUACAUUUAUUUAUAAAUACAUCCAAUAUUAUCGUUAGUGGAAAAAUCAUUUUUUAUGAGGAGUAAAAAUGAUUUAUUAUGAUGGGUAACCUGACAUAAUAGUUUUGGGCAUCAUAAUAGGUCUGCACAUUUUAUGACGGACAGAAAAGUCCAUAAUAAUAGGUCCUAUUAUGACGGACUUUCUGUCAUCUAUUAUAAUAGGUCCAGUGUAUUAUGACGAAUUUUCACUUAUCAAUCAUAAUAUAGCGAAUUUAUUAUGAUGCAACUAAAUUUACCUAUGAUAAUAUGUAGUGUUUUAUGACUAAGAUUUUUUCACCUGUCAUAAUAUGUAGAACAUAUAAGUAAUUGUUCACCUAUCAUAAUAUAUAUUUUUCAGAAAUAAGUUUUUAUUACAAACAUUGUUCACCACCUAUAAUAAAAACUUGUUUUGUAAAAAUAAAUCAUUAUUACAUUUGACAUAUCCAUUCAAUUUACAAUUAAUUUCCUGUAUUAUAAUCCCAUCAAUCAAUUUAUAAUCAAUAUAACAUGAAAUGAACAUAUUCAAUUAAACUAACAUAAUGAAAUUCAUUUUAAACAUAAUAAUAUUUAAUACAUAAUUUGUACAUCAAACCAUAUAUUAAUUCCAAAUAUAACAUUAACCUAUACUAUUACAUUGUAGUCAAGUUUCUACAAUUUACUAACAAUUAAAAUAAAAGAAAUCCACUUGUUUCUAGUGUCUUCAAUGUCUAGAGUCCAUUAGAGAUGAAUAAGUAAAGAUUUAUAAAUAAAAUAAUUAAGUUAGAAAAAUUUUAUAAUGAAGAAAUUAUUUUAUCAUACUAAGGUAUAGAAUAACAAAAGAUAAGACAUAACCAUGAAGGUCAUUUUACAGAUUGUUACAUCUUGAACAAUGGUCUGGAUAAAGCCAGAGACUUGACCAUUACUCCAAUGAUAAAAUAAUCACCAUUAUCAUAUAGCACAAAUACUACAACAAGCAAUAUGAGUACGUACCAACUUACUUUUUAAAAAUGACAUCAGGUUCACAAGCAAGAUCAAGUAAACAAAAGCUUUUUAAAAGACAACAGAGACAUGGAGCACCAAAAUGUGAUAUACCUAGGUUGCAUUUAUGCUAUCACGGUGAAACUGACAUAUCUUUCCAAGAAGUGAAACAACAUUGUCAUAUGCCAUUACGUUAUCAAGGAAGUUGUGCAUUUGGAUGUCUUAUCACAGUAUCUAACCUUGAGAGUGUCUCUACAGUAGAGCAGAUAAAAAAUAAAAUAAAAAAGAUAUAUAAUUGGCCGCGGAAAAACAGUUAAAUGGUGGUAUUGGGCAACUAACCUCCAACAAGGGGUUUGAAAACAAAUCCACCAAACUCAUCACACACACCAACACUAUAAACAACAGCCUGCAAAGACAUUUAAUUAUUUUGAGAAUAUUAUUAUCCCAGAUUAUAUUCUAAAAAUGGAAAGCAACACUAAUAUAUAGAAAACCAAGAAGGGGAAGUUAACUUUUCGAACAUCUGGAUAUUCAUCAUUGCAAGCUUCUAGUAAGAAUGGAAGGAAAGAAUCAUACUAUUUGUGCAACAAAAAGAAACAUGUAAAAAUAUAGAACAAAAUCAUUCAGGGUAAAGGGGAUAAAUUUUUUUUUUGCAAGGAAAUGUAGAAAAUCCACACAAGAACGAAAGACAUGGGACUCCCACAAGGAGGAAGCACUUACUUGAGAGCAGUUUCACGACAGUGCUCAAAAACAUCAUCAAAUAUACAAAUGGCAAUUCUCCUUUCCUAUGAGGUUUUAUCUUAGCCCUGAUAUUGAUUAUCAAUGGCGGAGGGACGAAAUGGGAUCAGAAAACAAAAUGGAAAAAAUUUCUAAGCUCAUAAUUUGUACAAAUAUAAAAAUGUCCACAUUCACAAAUAUAGACAAGUAGUUCAGUAGUAAAUUAGUAAUUGACAUAAUCCAAGUUAUUUUCGUGUGCUCUGGGAAGGGGCAUAAGAACAUUAGCAUAAAACCCAAAUUUCAUAUAGCAUUUCAGGAGGUUGCAUCGUCAUGAUAGAGGCUAGUUCACGUGAUAUUAUCCACUUUUUUCACUGGCUACAUCGCCUUUUCCCUAAUAAAAAAUGGCAUAUAUAACAAUCAAGAAAAAUGAAUAUCAACUUAGGAAAGAAAGAUAAUAGCUAGACAAGUUUUUUUUUUUUUCAUUCAAAUUAAUUGCCUUACAGAAAAACAUUUCACAAAAAACAAAAGGAAAUGCCAUGAGAGGAAAGAUAGACAACUUCAAAGCAAGAACGCCAAAAACUUAAGACUAAUUCUAGCAUCAAAUAUGUAUUAUUAGACAGACAGAAAGAAGCUUUUAUAUAUAUAUAUAUAUAUAUAUAUAUAUAUAUAUAUAUAUAUAUAUAUAUAUAUAUAUUAGUCUAAGCUUAACCUGACAAAGAGUUUUAGAUAAACGUGUUCUGUUAAGAUCAAUAAUAAUACAAAAAAAGGUACUCAAAUGUUUCCGUUGAAAGAGAAGUGUAUAAAUGUGGAAGAAAUUCACUCUUAAAGGAGGGUUGUUAGAAUUUAAAGUGUGAGUCUAAAUCUCACAUUCGAUAGAAAUGAUUAGAGAAUCUUGGAUUUUAAUGGUUUCUCUUUCAUGUUCAUCCAUUCCUUCUUCCACCGUCAUCUUUUUUUACCUCCCUUUUAUCGGCAUUACAUUUGACUCGUCCAUAUAUGUUUUUUUUCCCAUGAAAAAGAUGAAUUUUGUUAGUUUGUUUAUAGUCGUGGUGACUCUCCAAUAAUGAUCUCUUUAUCCACUAGAUGACAACAAUGCAUUCCUCAACCUUAAUUUGAAAAAAGAGAUUUACAUGGAGCAACUUUCCAAAUUUGUUGCUCAGGAGAGUCUUUUGGGUUGGUAUUUCAUCUUCUAUGUUGUCUUGAAAAUCAUUAGCAAUUUAGUGUCACUCAAGUGUAGAAGUUGAUAUUUUCACUAAAUCUCUAUAGAUUAUAUUAGUAAAAAGCUCGAUACAUACAAUUUGUAUGCAUUAACUAAAGGGGAAGUGUUAGAUAUAUUAUACAAGUGAGAUUAAUCCCAUACAUAAUUUUUUUCAUUAUAUUCAACAAAACCUAUGACAACUUAUCAAGUUUUAGUUUCUUCAAUCCUCAACAAGCAACAAUGCAUUAAGUUUAAUAGUCUUAAGAUUACUAAUGAACUAUAUUUUAUCCCUAAAUAUAAGCUCUAUUAAAUACUUAAUUUUAGUUUUAGGUUCAAAAGUCAUUUUGCAAUAUCUUAGUAACCAAUUAAGUCACAACAAGAAUUAAACAUAAAAAUCAAAUACCAAUAUAAGAAUGUAAAAGCAUGCGCGCGUACACACACACACACACACACACACACAUAUAUAUAUAUAUAUAUAUAUAUAUAUAUAUUAAUAACAAAAUAUACACAAAAAAUUAGUUUAGGGUUAAAUAUGUUUUUAUUCCCUAUACUAUCAAGCGGUUUUGGUUUUAGUCUCUCUUUCAAAGUAAGGUACAUUUUAGUCCUCCUUCCUAAGGAAACUUUAAUUUUAGUCCUCCAAAACUAACACCAUUAAAAACUAGCUGAUGUGGCUAACACUGUAAUGGCACGUCAUUUUUUUUUCUAACAUUAGUCAAUCUCCUUCAUUCGAAACCCAUGGACCACCACCAAGCCGCCAUCUGCACAUGGUUGUUGUUUCUCUGAUUGCAGGUGGCUUUUCACGGCAGCAAUUUAGGGCAUUUGGAGGUCGCGAUUUUUUGGUGUAUUUUCUGCAUUUUAGGUUACGAAGAUGGUGUCGCUGGUCAUGGGAGAUACUCGUUGAUGAAGACCGCGAGUGAAGGUGACUCUACUUCACGAUGGUGCUUAAUGGCGAAGGCAUGGUGGCGAGUCUGGAUUUGAGUUUUGUUGUAAGUGAUGGUGGAACAUGGAGCAGUUUUGUUGAGUCACGAUUUGCGACUUCUGUUUUGAAAUCUCUAUGCGAAGAAGAUGGAGGUCGAGGGUGAUGAACCCAUUGUGCUCUGGUGACAGCGGCCCAUGUUGAGGAUGCGAUUUUGGGUUCCCUUUUAUUCUGGGCUUCUGUGUUUUCUCUGACAGGUGCGAGAUCGAUGAUGACGCGAAGGUGGCAAGCUUCCUGGUGGCUGCCAUGGAGGAGAUUGAAUCUUGCGAUCUAGCGAAGAGAAACACGAUACUGGUUGCGCUCUGCGACAACUUAGUGGUGGUCCGAUGAAGAGUUUUUUGUUCGAAGGAUUUGGUGAAAACGAUGGAGGGAGCGGAAGAUGGAAGGAAGGAAACAGAAGGGAGAGAGGGGAGGGAGAAAAGCUGGGAAAAAUUAAGGUUUAAUACAUCUUUUGGUCCCAUCUUUUGGGACUUUUGUUCAAAAUGAUCCUACCUUCGGAAAAAAAUCACUUUGGUCCCAUAUUUCAUUAAAUGUUGUUCAAAAUGGUCCCUAUGGCAGACGACGUUAAAUUUUUAAUGGUGAAGUUGCUAGCGUGGCAAACGUCUAUCCACCUAUUUAAAAUUUAUAUCACGUGGCUUUUUGAAAACAUUUAAGGGUAAUUAAAAAACCCCUAAUUAAAAUCAAAUUAGAAAAUUAGGGUAGGUAAAAAACCCCUAACCCUAAUUGUUUUUCAAUUGUCGUGGAGAGAAGGCUCUGGGUUGUUCAUCUGCUGUUCAUUUGUCGCGAUUGGAGAUCACGUCAGUGGUGAUUGCUUGAAGGUGGUAGUUCAACAUUGACAGUUUUGACAAUUUUCUUACUGUCACUUUUCAUCAUCUUGUUUUUCUUCUUCUUAAUGUUGUAUUGCAGAGUUAAUUAAGCCCUGAAAUGAAAUUAACUCUAGUGGAGGGAAUCCACGAGUUUCCAGCAAUAAAAUUAGCAACAGUGAAUUUGGAAGCAUCUUCAACCUUAAGAACGUGAAAACCCUGCCACUGCACCCUCCCUGCGGUUCCAGCACCACCUCCUUCAUUGCCGUACUCCGCGAAAUACAAACUCUUCAAAACGGAGCUUCCAUACCCAGGCCACGCCACCCACCCUUUCGCCGCAAUCACUUCGUCGAUUCUACUCUGCAUCACCACCGAUCUCGAAUACUCCUUCCAGGGUCUCCCCAGAAACGAACUGUGCGACUGCUUAAAGUCCGAGGUCGGCGAUAUACUGCUCUUGUGAACGGAGAACCCAGUGUUCUGCCCGGGGUUAGAUCUAAAAACAAUUAGGGUUGGGGGUUUUUAAUUACCCUAAUUUUCUAAUUUGAUUUUAAUUAGGGGUUUUUUAAUUACCCUUAAAUGUUUUCAAAAAGUCACGUCAUAUAAAUUUUAAACAGGUGGAUAGACGUUUGCCACGCUAGCAACUUCACCGUUAAAAAUUUAACGUCGUCUGCCAUAGGGACCAUUUUGAACAACAUUUAAUGAAAUAUGAGACCAAAAGAUGUAUUAAACCAAAAAUUAACUAGUGUUAGAAAAAAAUGAUGUGCCAUUACACUGUUAGCUACAUCAGCUGGUUUUUAAUAACAUUAGUUUUGGAAGACUAAAAUUAAAAUUUAUUAAGAAAGAGGACUAAAAUAUACCUUACUUUAAAAUAUGAACUAAAACCAAAACCGCUGAUAAUAAAAUUGAAAUAAAUAAAUAAAUGUAAAAUAAAGUUUAUUUAUAACAAUGUAUCUUUAUUUUUUUGAUAGUUUAUUUAUACAAAGAAACACCCAUAAAAAUUGAAAUAAAGUUGGAAGUCCAUGGAUGACGUAAAAAGGCCUCAUUAUUUUAUUUUGGUUGUACAAGGGAAGCAAUGUAAAAUAUCUCUUCUUUUUUUUUCUCCACUACCCCACCCAAGGGAUCACACUAGCCACCACUAUAAAUUAUAAAUAUUAGCACAGCCUCUCUUACACACCUAACAUCUCUAGGGUUUGUGUCAAUGGCGGACGAAACUCACUAUUCAUCUCCCAAAGACUCUGCGCCCCUCAAACGCAAGUACGAAGACCAAUCCUCCGACAGGCCCACUGGCUUCUCGGCAGGUCCCGCCACCGGCAUCGAGCUCGCCAAGCAGCGUGCUCAAGAAGUUGCCGCCCGCCUCCUCAGCGUUGCUCCUCCUCCCCCGCUCGACGCCAAGCGUCCCAAAUCCGAUAACGGUGCUCCUACCUCCGGCUUCGAUUCUUAUGGUAACUAUCUGUCCCUCUCUGCUCCACACUUCUGCUCGUUUAGGUUAGGGUUUAUAAACUCUGAUUUCCGUGAACGUAGAUGCGAAGCCUCAGUACUCUGCUGUUCCUCCAGUCUCCUACAGUCACCAAGGAACGAGCAAGAAGAUUGAUAUCCCUAACGGCCGGGUUGGUGUGAUUAUUGGCAAAAGUGGAGAGACCAUUAAAUAUCUUCAGUUGCAGUCUGGUGCCAAAAUUCAAGUUACUCGCGAUAUGGACGCCGACCCUAAUUCUGCUACCAGGACCGUUGAGCUUAUGGGCACUCCCGAGGCAAUUGCCUCUGCAGAGAAACUCAUUAAUGAAGUUCUUGCCGAGGUUAAACUCAUUUUAUACUUCUCGUUUUCUUUUUCUGUCAAUCACAAAUGGACUAGAUUUCGUUUAUCUACCAAGGAGGAGUGUUUCCUGAUGAACUUCUCAAAUGUUUAAUUAUUGCAAUAUGUAUGAUGAUAACCUCUUCUAUACCAGGCUGAAUCUGGAGGCUCUGGCAUUGUUGCUCGAAGACUAACCGGACAAGCUGGGUCAGAUGAAUUUGUUAUGAGAAUCCCAAAUAAUAAGGUGUGAAAGGCAGAUUUGUUGAAGUGUAUGCUUUGUACAAUAUCAUAAGUGAUUCUCGAGUUCAGGUAUGUGGUUCUUCUGUCUGUUUGGAUUAAUAUGUUCAUUGUGGGCAUCUUCAGGUUGGCCUUAUUAUUGGAAAAGGUGGAGAAACCAUAAAGAAUAUGCAAGCUUCUACUGGCGCACGGAUUCAGGUUUUUACUUAUAAUUGAUACGACCGUAAUCUUAUUUGUGUAUUAGACAUAGGUGAUUUGCCGAUAUGGUGUUCUUUCUGUAGCCUUGAGAUUGCUACUAAUUUGAUAAGAGAUUGUGAUAACUGCCAACGCUCGGGACUUGGAAAUUUCUAUCGGAGUUCCUUGUGAUUAAUGUUCAUACGAUUAUUUCAGGUCAUACCUCUGCAUCUUCCUCCGGGUGACACAUCAACUGAAAGAACUUUAAAGAUUGAUGGGACACCUGAGCAAAUUGAGUCUGCAAAGGAGUUGGUUAAUCAAAUCAUCAGCGGCGAGGUAUGUUAAUGGUGCUUCCUUUUGCCACAGUUGGCUUAGGCAUAUCUACCUGGUUAAGCCAAGUCUAGUUCAGUGUUUACAAUUGUUGUUUUUCUACUUGAUUAUUCUACUUGAUUUUGUACCUGGUUAAGCCAAGUCUAGGUUAACUUACUUGCAAGCUUUAUGUGAUUGUUGUAUGAAUACUUUGUGCUUGUCAUUGCCUGUUGGACCUUUUUAUUUUUUUAUGAUAUUGAAAUAUAAAAUUAGAUCUGAUUGAUCCCUGUUGCUUGAUACAUGUUUUCUGUACUUUCUCCGAUUUGUUUCUUUACAGGUAAAAAGUUCGUUUGGUAAAUCAUGAGAUGGUUUUUACUUUAGUUUGCAUAAAUGAUUUUUAUUCUGUUCAUAUUAAUUAAUUUAUUGAUCUUAUUAAUGAUAUAUCAUAGCACUAUGACCAUUAUUACUUAACAGUGUAUAUUAUUGAUGUUUUCAUCUGGAAUGAAGAAGCUUAGCUGUAUGGCAAUUUUGAUGCGUAUUCUGGAUGCAUUGAUAUCUCUUCCAAAGCAGCUUAGCUGAUAGUGUCUGUUUAUGGAAGUAGUGAUUUCUUCAGAGUGUAAUGUGCCUUUGGCAAGUGGUUUCUAUAAUAUGAUACUUAAAUAUUGAUAUGACCUGUUACCUAUUGUGUUGUUCUCAAAAGAAAAUUAGUACAUUUAAUUUCAUAUUGUGCAAGUGUUUCAAGACUUUUACAAAGUAAUUCACUACGGUAGAAAAGAAACUAAGUCACUAGUGGCUGUUAUGAUGUUCUUGCUUGUAAUCUCCAACUCUCUUCAGUGUAACCUCAUCAGCUCGCCUUUUGGAAAUAUGUUUAGUGAGACCGUUCACUGCUAUAGCCGUCAUUUAUUAGUUGUAUUGUGGUGUGAACAACUGUAUAGUAUCUUGUUUUAUUAACAGUCUUGACAUACUAGCAAUAUGUGCCUUUCUUUAUGUUUAGCCUCGGAUUAGGUGAUGGUCAUUAACUUUCAGGGUCUUUCUAAUUAUGACUUGUAAACUGCGUACUUAUUUUGUGCAUGAGUAUUGUGCUCUGUAUAAUUAGCUAAUACGUCUUAUCCAUUAUCUCUUUUAUCCAUCCACAAACCAAUGACUUUGGUAGCAAUAUUUGAGAAUAGGCUCAGUUUUCUUGACUAAGAUACCAUACUUUUACAAAGACCUUAUUUUAACUGUGGUGUAGUUUUGCACCUGGCCCAGUGCUUUGGAGAGUUUCCUUUUUCGUUUUUAUUGGUUUAAAUCAGUGGGGGCUGCGAAGGCUACUGUUAUUAUGAAAUCUUUUGGUCCAGAUGGAUACUCAUUGAGAUUAUAGUCUCUCGACAUUGGAAUAUGCUUAUUAAUUGUGUAUCCUAUGACUGAUGUUGUUAUUGGGACUGUUGUAGGGUUAGUGUCUAUUGGACCAUUGGUGACACCAACAUGAAUCCAUUUGUUGGUGUUCCCUCAGCAUGCCCUGGUAUGGUUCUAAAUCUCAGUUUUGAUAUUUAUUAUCAAGGGCAGUAAGUCUCCUACUAUAUUUUUUGACUAUGGUGUCAUUAUUAGAUUGAAUAUUGAAUUAUAUUGAAAUAGUUUUCAACUACCAAGUGGUUUUCAGUUCAUUUCUCAAAAGAACCUUUAUGUACUUGGAAUAGUAUUUAUCCUCGUAUGUUAUACUGGACUUACAUUUGGCAUAGGUAAUCUGAGACGUGCCCAUUGUGCUGCACUUUAAUUAUUUUCUCUAUUCUAUUAUUUUUGUCCAGUUUUAAGUAGUAGUUUUCUUAACUAACCAGUUAUCUACAAGAUUUCUGCUAAGAUUUGUCUGUUGUACAUUUUGUGCUACUUCUAUUCUGCUUCAUCAUUCCUCUAUUUUCUUUUUCUUAUUAGUUAUCAACUUAAAUAAUAUUUAAUUUGAACUUUGAAUUCGUGAUCCUGAGGUUGAAUUAUUAGAUUGGGUUGUACAGAGGUUGAGAGAGGAUGUACAUGGGAGCACAAAAUAAUUGCCUCGACAGUCUGUAUAUUUGUAUUUAGAGUUGAGCCUUCAUCUUAAUACAUUGUUAAAUAUCUGUAGUUCCAGUCAGACUUGUUGAAUUAAUAUGAAUACAAGUAUUAUAUUGUAUAUUGAAUAGCGUAACAAUUGGAGUAAGAUCUUGCAUAUUUUGAGAUACUAUAUGACGGAUUGCCUUUUCAAGGCAAUAAAUAUUGAAUGCUUGUUUGCUUCUAUGGUCUGUGCUUUCUCUUGUACCCAUCCAAUUCGAAUAGGGAAAGGGUGUGCUUCUGCUGGAGUAACUCAGUUUUAUCACGAACCAGUACGGUAUGUAGGUAUUCAUAUCCCUUUCUGAUCUUGUAUGCAACCUGUUAAUGCAAGAUAACAUACCCUUUAUAUCGUGUUCAUUAUAUGUUGAUUUCUGCAUUUGUAGGUUUAACCUGUGUACGUGUGCAUAUGUUGCUUUCUGUACUUGUCUGAUGUAGAAACUUGGGUGAAUUCACUCCCUUUAUUUUUGUUUUCUAUUUGUCUGCACAGAAUCGACUUAGAAAUCCUUCAAUGUCUGGUGGGUAUCCUCAGCAAGGCUACCAAUCUCGACCACCCUCUAACUGGGGUCCCCCCGCACCAAUGCAGCAACCUGGUUAUGGCUAUGUUCAACCUGGAGCAUAUUCUGGUCCAUCACCUCAAUAUAACAUGCCUCAGCCACCAUAUUCAGGCUAUCCUCCCCAACAACCAGGUGGAUAUUCCACCAAUUGGGACCAGUCUUCUGCACCACCUCACCAACAGUCUACUCAUGCUGGUGGCUAUGAUUACUAUAGUCAACAACCACAACCGCAAAAUCCUGGAGGUCCUGCACCUCCAGCUGACGGCUCUGCAUACAAUUAUAGUCAACCACCUUCAUCUGCUUAUAGCCAACCGGGACAGGGUUAUGCUCAGGACAGCUAUAAUGCAUAUAAUGCACAAUCUCAUUCGGGGUAUGGACAACCACCAACGUAUGAUCAGCAACAAGGCUAUGGCUCCGUUACUGGCUAUGGUAGUGGGAAUAACCAAGCACAAGAGGGCCACACUUCGGGCUAUGCAUCGCAGGGAGAUUCAGCCCCAGCUCCAUCAACCCAACCGACCACCAUUGCACAGCAAGGUUAUCCUACCAGCCAACAGCCCAGCUCAAACACUUCCAACUACCCACCUCAGGGAACUCCUCAGUCGGGUUAUGGCGUCCCCCCUACAUCCCAAGCUGCUUAUGGAAGUCAACCACAACCAGGUUAUGGUCCUGGUUAUGGAGCCCCUCAAUCUCAGAAACCAAGUGGCAAUCCUUCUGUUUAUGGACAGUCGCAGUCACCUAGUGCAGUAGGAGGCUAUGGUCAGUCAGCAUAUCCUGCGCAGCCUCCACCUUCUGGUUAUACUCAACCCCAAGCAGAAACUGGUGCUCAGAGAGCACCUCCGUCGGGCUAUGGUGCAGGGCAACCAGGUUAUGGUUCUCAAGCAUAUGGUGCACCUCAGGGAGGCCAGCCUGCUUAUGGACAGGCGCCGCCUCCAUACACCAACAGUUCUUAUGGUGCUGGUUAUACUCAGGCUCCGGCCUAUACUGGCGAUGGUAAUGGCAGUGGGAAUACUCAGCCUCCCCAAACAACUGCUGCUAAAACUUCGCCCCAGACUUGAUAUUUUCCCCCCUCCCUCUUUUUCAUGGACUUCUUUUUAGUCGUGUUUUGUAGUUGUUUAUUCUACUAGCGAUACCCACCUAUGUAGCGUUGCAAUGUUUAGAUGUAAGGGUUCGUGUACUGAAAUUUCCUACAUGUUGAAUAUUUUUGUAUGGUUAAAUUGGAUCUCAUGGUGAUGGCAUUUGAAAAAAAUGGGGAACUUAAUUUAAGUUGCCAAACUAUGUGUCGAUUUUCAUCUAAUUUUUAGUGAGUUCAACUGAC
rnacentral:lncRNA from 1 species